UACGGAGGGGGCAAGCGUUGUUCGGAAUUACUGGGCGUAAAGCGUGCGCAGGCGGUUUUGUAAGCCAGAUGUGAAAUCCCCGGGCUUAACCUGGGAAUGGCAUUUGGGACUGCAAGGCUGGAGUGUGGCAGAGGAGACUGGAAUUCCUGGUGUAGCAGUGAAAUGCGUAGAUAUCAGGAGGAAUACCGAUGGCGAAGGCAGGUCUCUGGGCUGACACUGACGCUCAUGCACGAAAGCGUGGGGAGCAAACAGG
rnacentral:rRNA from 1 species